ensembl:lncRNA
AUGGACAUCACCCAGAAAUCUUGCAUAGAGUAUCGGACGAAACUUUGUAUUGUCUCCCUUCAGGGAGGAGCUUCUGUAGAACUUCUUUUGGUGAAAGAAUUUGAUGGCUUCCCUGUUUUCAGCAGCUCUACAGUGAAGCCAUGGCUGCAGCAACAGUGGUGGUGUCUGCUGGCGGACAAAUGGAUUUUCUUUGAAGUGAUCUAGGUCAGAGCAGAGAAGCAGAUGGGGAUGAUCCCUUACAAAAAUGCCUUGACCUGGAAUUUCUCCCCACAGGAGCAGAGAGAAGAGCUGCCUUUUAAGUAGCAUUGUCUGAGGAGUAGCUCCCAAAUGCUUAUUCCUGGACAUGGCAGGGCCAGAUGCCCAAUAAUCGCCUGGAAAAUAUUAGUUACAAAAACUAAAUAAAACAAACCCCCUGGUUCUACCCUAAUUUGGAGGGAGUAAGGGUGGAGUGUAACAGAGGUACAGAUGGUAACCACUGAUUUGGAAAGCAAGGCUUCUCAUCUGUAGUUAGAUGUGUGGGCUCUUUUGCAUUUCCCUAAUAUGUGACCUCAAGUAAAUCUAUCAACUUUUCUGACCCUCACAUUGACUGUUUAUAAGGUGAUGAUGAUAUCAGUAGGUCCUAUGUUGAAGGGUUGUCUUGAGAAUCAAAUGAGAUUAGGUAUGCAAAAGUACUUAUUAUCUGUCAAUUAUUACAUAAUUUUGGCUGAACUUAGAUAUUUAAAUCCUAGCUGAAUUUUUGCUAAGUGUUUUGGGAGAUAAAAAAGAAUCAACAUACGAUUUGGGAGGAAUUUUCAAUCCACCUGGAGAGAUGAGGUACAAAUGAAACAGCAUAAAAACUAUAUCCAAUAGCAUAUUAAGUCACUAAAAGCAUUUUAGUACAUACUGUGGGCUCUGUGCUAAGACCAACUGUAUGGGUGACUGAGAAGUAUAAAAUACGACAUGGAUAUUUUUCUGAAAGGGCUCCCAGAUCUGAUGGUGAGAAUUUUCCUUUAUAACAGCAAAUAAUACAAAGGCAAUAUAAUCCAAAUAACUUCUAAAUUUUAGAAGUUGACUAUUUUCUGCCUGUAAAUAAUUACUGUAAGAUCUCUGAGGAAAGAGCAGUAGGAAGGGCUGUAGUCCAGGAAGAGAUGGAACUGUACCUGGCCUAUUGGUUGGAACAGAAAAGGGAAAAGAGAGAGGGUCAUUGGCUAGGGGAACAGCAAAGUUCAAGCACAGAGGCAAGAAUGAACAUGGAGUAAAUGUUCAACAAGGAGACCAGCCUGACUGCAAUGGUGGGGCACAUUACAGAGGGCUUUAAAAGCUCAGCUGAGUUUGUACUUGAUACAUCUAUGCAUAUUUUGUAUACAUGAGAGGGGCGUGUUUACAAACCUACACUCGAAACUUGAAGAUUAUGCUGUCCAAUAUGAUAGCAACCAGCCACGUAUGGUUGUGGAGCACUUGAAAUGUUGCUUGUCUGUAUUGAGAUACACUCUAAGCGUAAAAUGCAUCCUAGAUUUCAAAGAUUUAGUACCAAAACUAAUCUCAUGUAAAUUGAUCAUUUUAUAUUGAUUAUCUGUUGAAAUAAAAGUAUUCUUAAUAUGAAAUUAAAGAUUAUUAGAAUUAAUUUCAUUUUUUCUUUUUUUCUUUUUUUCCUUUUAUAGGGCUGCACCUACAGUAUAAGGAGGUUCCCAGGCUAGGGGUCCAGUUGGAGCUGCAGCUGCUGGCCUACACCACAGCCACAGCAAUGCUGGAUCCUUAACCCACUGAGCAAGGCCAGGGAUCGAACCCACAACAUCAUGGUUCCUAGUCAGAUUCGUUAACCACUGAGCCAUGAUGGGAACUUUGCUUUCUUUUUUUAGAAUGUGGCUGCUAGAAAAUUUAAAGUUAUACAUAGACACCACUGUUCUAGAAAGCCAUGAUUCUUUUUUUUUUUUUUUUUUUUUAAUCUUUUUGCCAUUUCUAGGGCCGCC